AUUGAACGCUAGCGGGAUGCUUUACACAUGCAAGUCGAACGGAGUGGCGGACGGGUGUGUAAUAUAUCGGAACGUGCCCAGUCGAGGGGGCUAACUGGCAGAAAGAGUGUCUAAUACCGCAUACUAUUGGAGCGGCUGAUAUGGGAUUAGCUAGUUGGUGGGGUAACGGCUCACCAAGGCAACGAUCCAUAGCUGGUUUGAGAGGAGGACAAGCCACACUGGGACUGAGACACGGCCCAGACUCCUACGGGAGGCAGCAGUGGGGAAUUUUGGACAAUGGGGGAAAGCCUGAUCCAGACAGCCCGCGUGUAUGAAGAAGGCCUUCGGGUUGUAAAGUACUUUUGGUAGAGAAGCGGUAUCUACAGAAGAAGCACCGGCUAACUACGUGCCAGCAGCCGCGGUAAUUC
rnacentral:rRNA from 1 species